CAGUAGCCGCGGGAAUACGAAGGGGGCUAGCGUUGUUCGGAAUUACUGGGCGUAAAGGGCGCGUAGGCGGCCAUUCAAGUUAGAUGUGAAAGCCCUGGGCUCAACCUAGGAAUUGCAUUUGAUACUGUUUGGCUUGAGUUCGGGAGAGGUGAGUGGAAUUCCCAGUGUAGAGGUGAAAUUCGUAGAUAUUGGGAAGAACACCGGUGGGGAAGGCGGCGACCCGGUCCUUUACUGACGCUGAGGCGCGAAAGCGUGGGGAGCAAACAGGAUUAGAGACCCGGGUAGUCCCUGUCUCUUAUAC
rnacentral:rRNA from 1 species